UGAAGAUCAAUGAAUCAGAAAAUGUUCUGACAGUUUUAACAGUUGUGAUGUGGUGUAUUUCACUUCCACGCAUCAUGUAGAGGUUGGUGACCUGAUACAAUGAACAUGGAAAAAUCACCUGCGCCCACGUUGACGAUGAUACCUGUACCGAAGUGCUGGAAACUAAAAUUAAUUUUCUUUACAAUUUGGUUUCAGGCUAUCUUAUAAUUUUUUAAUAGUUUUGCGUUUAUUGAUGAGUCCGCAAGCUCUUAGCUGAUUUCCUCCUUUAGAUACCGCCUGUCGACGAUUUGACAGCCUCACACAAUUAAAGAACGCCGAAGUGAGCUCUUCCGAGCAGAAAAGUGACGGCGUAUCCAUUGAAUUGAAAAUAGGCACAAGGUAACGCACAAUUAGCGUCCUUGUCUCAAUGGAGAAAUUUUGCCGUGGAACUUGU